UAGAGUUUGAUCAUGGCUCAGGACGAACGCUGGCGGCGUGCUUAACACAUGCAAGUCGAACGCUGAAGCACCUUCGGGUGUGGAUGAGUGGCGAACGGGUGAGUAACACGUAGGCAAUCUGCCCCGUACUCUGGGAUAAGCCCGGGAAACUGGGUCUAAUACCGGAUAGGACAUGCCCCCGCAUGGGGGUGUGUGGAAAGCUCCGGCGGUACGGGAUGAGCCUGCGGCCUAUCAGUUUGUUGGUGGGGUGAUGGCCUACCAAGGCGACGACGGGUAGCCGGCCUGAGAGGGUGACCGGCCACACUGGGACUGAGACACGGCCCAGACUCCUACGGGAGGCAGCAGUGGGGAAUCUUGCACAAUGGGCGAAAGCCUGAUGCAGCGACGCCGCGUGAGGGAUGACGGCCUUCGGGUUGUAAACCUCUUUCGCCAGGGACGAAGCCUUUCUGAGGUGACGGUACCUGGAUAAGAAGCACCGGCUAACUACGUGCCAGCAGCCGCGGUAAUACGUAGGGUGCGAGCGUUGUCCGGAUUUACUGGGCGUAAAGAGCUCGUAGGUGGCGUGUCGCGUCGGUCGUGAAAGCCUUCAGCUCAACUGGAGGUGUGCGGCCGGUACGGGCACGCUUGAGUGCAGUAGGGGAGACUGGAAUUCCUGGUGUAGCGGUGGAAUGCGCAGAUAUCAGGAGGAACACCGGUGGCGAAGGCGGGUCUCUGGGCUGUCACUGACGCUGAGGAGCGAAAGCGUGGGGAGCGAACAGGAUUAGAUACCCUGGUAGUCCACGCCGUAAACGUUGGGCGCUAGGUGUGGGCGACCAUUGUGUUGUCUGUGCCGUAGCUAACGCUUUAAGCGCCCCGCCUGGGGAGUACGGCCGCAAGGCUAAAACUCAAAUGAAUUGACGGGG
rnacentral:rRNA from 1 species